AUUGAACGCUGGCGGCAUGCCUAAUACAUGCCAGUCGAGCGAGCGGCGGACGGGUGUGUAAUGUCUGGGAAACUGCCUGAUGGAGGGGGAUAACUACUUGAACCGGUACCUAAUACCGAAUACCUUCAGAUGUGCCCAGAUGGGAUUAGCUAGUAGGUGGGGUAACGGCUCACCUAGGCGACGAUCCCUAGCUGGUCUGAGAGGAUGACCAGCCACCGUGGAACUGAGACACGGUCCAGACUCCUACGUGAGGCAGCAGUGGGGAAUAUUGCACAAGGGGCGCAAGCCUGAUGCAGCCAUGCCGCGUGUGUGAAGAAGGCCUUCGGGUUGUAAAGCACUUUCAGCGGGGAGGCGUUACCCGCAGAAGAAGCACCGGCUAACUCCGUGCCAGCAGCCGCGGUAAUAC
rnacentral:rRNA from 1 species